UUCGCUGAUGAACUAACGCUUAGACGUCUUGCCAAUGUAUUUUACAGCGGCAAAAAUGCAUCUAGGCGACGUUGGCAAGAUUGGUGUGCCGUCUGGGUAUGUUGGUUUUCAGUGCUGGGCAGUAGCGAAGCGACUAGUUUAAUUACAUUCCCUAGUAGCUUGGUCGUAGCGUCAUUACUAUGUAUCGACUAACGUCCCUGUAGUUAAGAAAUAGUUUAGAAAUCAAUGUGAAAUACCCUGGCAUUUGCAACAGUAGGCAACCUGUCCUUAAAAAGUAUGGGUCCUCAAAACAGCACUUGUUGCACAAAUAAGUGUAGCAUAGAGCACGCCACCCCGAAAUCAAUGUGAAAUACCCUGGCAUUUGCAACAGUAGGCAGCAUGUCCUUAAAACGUAUGGGUCCUCAAAACAGCACUUGUUGCACAAAUAAGUGUAGCUGGCCUCUUCAAGAAAUUGAAAUUAUGCAUGGUCACUUUCUCUUAUUGUUUCACGUGGAGGUCUACUGACAUUGUCUAAAUAAUGUAGGCUAGUUUAUGUCCAUGUAUUAUAUUAGGACCCAAGGUUAAUGGGUUAUUCUAUUUACCAUGUUUUCACAGGCUGCUGUCUCAUAAUAUGGCGAAGACGAGUCACUUGAAGGCCUAACAGCUCUUAUGAGGAGCAGUCUUGCCAUAGAAGACUGAAAGAAUGUAAGAUUAACUUCUUUGUGACCAAUAUGACUUGCUCAUUGAUACAUUUGCUAUGUCAAUAUGAGAUGCAUGGCGAAGUAUUUAAUUUAUUUGUCUCUCUUCUAGGAGCUGUAGAAACAACAGGGUGCCUGCUGCAGUAUGACGAGGACGCCGUGAUCAUAGAAGGUCCAGUGUCUUGGCAGGGUGAAAUGGCACUGAUAUCGUGUCCUGCAGGAUGCUAUGUCCUGCAAUCCUGUGUGCUGUGCUACAGACGUGUGUGGAGGUCAACCCGAAAUGGGCACAGUAGAGUGAAAGAGGAUCCUGGCAGGGAGACGGUAGUGUCCUGCAGGAUGGUGAUGGGCAAUCUUACAAGAGACCACAGAAAACUCAUAUAGUCUCCCAGAAGUGAGACUGAGUGCCUGUUGCAGUAUGACGAGGAAGCAGUGACCAGAGACCUUCAGUAGACCCUGCUGGCAUGAUUGGCGGCUGAAGAACAUGAAAUCAACAGCAAUGUUUAUAAUAUUGUACAUGCCUGUAUAGUCUGCACUAAAAUGCUGUACCUGUACUAUUUUUCCUCUUACUUUCAUAUUUACCACGUAUUUACUAUGAAUUGACAACUUUUACUCAAAUCCAUUUUUGUAUGUGCCCUGACUAAAACUAUCCUUAAACCUAACCUGCCAGAGGUGUAAUAACAACCUGCUCUUAGCAAUGUGGCAGUCUACUUGGAUGCAGCGGGGAACAUAGAACCCUUUUUUUUUUGAAAAAGCAUUGUAUGUUUCUGAGUUUUAUGAAUUGUGCCCUUCCCAAACCUAACCUGUCGUAGGGGCCUAUGAAAUCAGUUUUAAUUUUUCUCAAAUUCCGUUUUAUUUUUCAUCAUUCAGUUUUUUUCUGAUUAUUUUUUUUGCCAAAUUGGAUUUUUUUUUACAUUUUUGAACUUAUUCUUCUUAUCCCUUUCAUUCCCCCCCACACACACAAUUUCUUAGUUAUUUAGUUCAAACUGGUGGGUGGACAGAGCCAACCAUUCAUGGUUGAAUGCUAGGUAGAGAAAAUAAAAUAAAAAUUACCUACUAGCUUUUUGUAAUAUCAGCCCUCAAAAAUAUUCCAGGUAAUAAGGUAGCUGUAAUGUACAUGCGCAUAUGACGCACCCAACUAGAAGGCGAAUUCACUUCUGGUGCAUUGAAGUUGUUGGACUCUGGCUGCAUCAGGUUUUCUCGAAUACGUUUGGCUAUAUUGCAACGUGCAGCUUAGAGACAUUUUUGGUCACGUUAUAUGUAGGCAUUAAAUAAAUAGCCUCGCAAAGUCCCUACCGUCUACCGUUUCACUCAAACACAUGUUUUACAAGACGGCCGUUUUCUUCUGAUGGUGACUUGACCCUUUUAGUUGAUGCUAACUUUUAGUCACUAUGCUCCGUGGCCAACAAAGUUAACAAGACAUGAUCAAAGCAUUGCCUGAUCAGUUUUUAUUUUACAGCGGUCAUGUCUGUUGUAACAAACUCCAAACUCGUGCCUCGCGUCGGAAGAUUCCACUGUUAAAUAGGCUAAAGUGCAGUGGAGAGCCGCCCGUCUUUUCUGUGUCGCAUCGCAUUGUCUUGGUAACAGACGGUCAGGACAACGCGUUUAUGCCUGACCUCACCUGUUCUACUAGGCAAAAUUUGAGUGCUGUUGAGUAUUAAGAUUUCUUCAAUGCUCUGACGGCCAGUGUUAGGACGUGGGAGACAAUCGGAAACGCCGCUUGGGAGAGAGAUGCGUGUUUGUUUCUGAGUUGUACAUUUGUGACCUGAGUAGGCUACUGUAUACAUCACUGCAUAUAGA